ACGCUGGCGGCAGGCCUAACACAUGCAAGUCGAGCGGCAGCACAGGUACUUGUACCGGGUGGCGAGCGGCGGACGGGUGAGUAAUGCCUAGGAAUCUGCCUGGUAGUGGGGGAUAACGUUCGGAAACGGACGCUAAUACCGCAUACGUCCUACGGGAGAAAGUGGGGGAUCUUCGGACCUCACGCUAUCAGAUGAGCCUAGGUCGGAUUAGCUAGUUGGUGAGGUAAUGGCUCACCAAGGCGACGAUCCGUAACUGGUCUGAGAGGAUGAUCAGUCACACUGGAACUGAGACACGGUCCAGACUCCUACGGGAGGCAGCAGUGGGGAAUAUUGGACAAUGGGCGAAAGCCUGAUCCAGCCAUGCCGCGUGUGUGAAGAAGGUCUUCGGAUUGUGAAGCACUUUAAGUUGGGAGGAAGGGCAUUAACCUAAUACGUUGGUGUUUUGACGUUACCGACAGAAUAAGCACCGGCUAACUCUGUGCCAGCAGCCGCGGUAAUACAGAGGGUGCAAGCGUUAAUCGGAAUUACUGGGCGUAAAGCGCGCGUAGGUGGUUUGUUAAGUUGAAUGUGAAAUCCCCGGGCUCAACCUGGGAACUGCGUCCAAAACUGGCAAGCUAGAGUAUGGUAGAGGGUGGUGGAAUUUCCUGUGUAGCGGUGAAAUGCGUAGAUAUAGGAAGGAACACCAGUGGCGAAGGCGACCACCUGGACUGAUACUGACACUGAGGUGCGAAAGCGUGGGGAGCAAAC
rnacentral:rRNA from 1 species